GACGUAGGGGGCCAGCGUUGCUCGGAAUCACUGGGCGUAAAGGGUGCGUAGGCGGGUCUUUAAGUCAGGGGUGAAAUCCUGGAGCUCAACUCCAGAACUGCCCUUUGAUACUGAAGAUCUUGAGUCCGGGGAGAGGUGAGUGGAACUGCGAGUGUAGAGGUGAAAUUCGUAGAUAUUCGCAAGAACACCAGUGGCGAAGGCGGCUCACUGGCCCGAUACCUGACGCUGAGGCACGAAAGCGUGGGGAAGCAAACAGG
rnacentral:rRNA from 1 species